rnacentral:rRNA from 1 species
CCCUUAGAUGUUCUGGGCCGCACGCGCGCUACACUGACGAAUGCAACGAGCUUAUAACCUUGGCCGAAAGGUCUGGGUAAUCUCCAAAUUUCGUCGUGAUGGGGAUAGAUUAUUGCAAUUAUUGGUCUUCAACGAGGAAUUCCUAGUAGACGUAGUUCAUCAGACUGCAUCGAUUACGUCCCUGCCCUUUGUACACACCGCCCGUCGCUCCUACCGAUUGGAUGAUCCGGUGAGCUAUUCGGACCUUCGCUUCGUCGAUUUUCGGCUUUGUGAGGGAAAGUCUCGCGAACCUUAUCAUCUAGAGGAAGGAGAAGUCGUAACA